AAUCAGUAUAAACGACAAUUUACAAGUUCAACAGUAAAUGUACAUUCUUUGUAUCUAGGAUUUUUGAGUUGCAAGUUAAACUGAAUUUUUACUGCAGUGGAGAGGAAGAGCACAGCAGACAAAAUAACAGCCCUGUACUUACUUUAGCAAGAUGCAGUGAAUUUGUGACCAGAGAAACAAAUAAUUCAGGCUUGGAGGAAACACUUGACUAUAUCCUGGGAAACUAGAGUUGAAGCCUGAGAUCUGAAACUAGGCUAGUAAUCAUUUUAAUAGAUGGCAACUAUUCAAUUGUUCAUUGCUCAGGAGUAGCAGGAAGGAAUGGACUUCUAAAAGCCUGUAAACUAAUCUCCACGGAGAAACUUCCUCUGUGUGUUAUUUGAUGGAAAAAUACUGAAGGACACAGCCAAAUGAAGUCAUCUCCACCAGAGGGCACAACUGCCUUCCUUCUGAGUAUGAAGAAGGUAACUGUUAUUUUCCUGGUGUUCCCGGCUCUUCAAAUGGCCAUGCUGUCAAAACAGUUUAGUUUAAUCAGGUUA